AUACUACUCCCUCCGUCCGGAAAUACUUGUCAUCAAAAUGAAUAAAAGGGGAUGUAUCUAGAUGUAUUUUAGUUCUAGAUACAUCCCUUUUUGUCCAUUUUGAUGACAAAUAUUUUCGGACGGAGGGAGUACUAG
rnacentral:pre_miRNA from 1 species